rnacentral:rRNA from 1 species
GACGAACGCUGGCGGCGUGCUUAACACAUGCCAGUCGAACGGAAAGGCCCUGCUUUUGUGGGGUGCUCGAGUGGCGAACGGGUGAGUAACACGUGAGAAACCUGCCCUUGACUUUGGGAUAACUUCAGGAAACUGGGGCUAAUACCGGAUAGGAGCUCCUGCUGCAUGGUGGGGGUUGGAAAGUUUCGGCGGUUGGGGAUGGACUCGCGGCUUAUCAGCUUGUGGGUGGGGUAGUGGCUUACCAAGGCAUUGACGGGUAGCCGGCCUGAGAGGGUGACCGGCCACAUUGGGACUGAGAUACGGCCCAGACUCCUGCGGGAGGCAGCAGUGGGGAAUAUUGCACAAUGGGCGGAAGCCUGAUGCAGCAACGCCGCGUGCGGGAUGACGGCCUUCGGGUUGUAAACCGCUUUCGCCUGUGACGAAGCGUGAGUGACGGUAAUGGGUAAAGAAGCACCGGCUAACUACGUG